rnacentral:rRNA from 1 species
AGGAUGAACGCUGGCGGCGUGCCUAACACAUGCAAGUCGAACGUCCUGUCUCGCAAGAGGCAGGGAGUGGCGGACGGGUGAGUACCACGUGGGUCAUCUACCGUGAGGUGAGGAAUACCGGCGAGAAAUCGCCGACAAGACCGCAUAGCCUCGGUGCAAGUCGAGGAAAGCUCUCUCGAGAGAGGGAGCGCCACACGAGGAGCCUGCGCCCGAUUAGCUAGCUGGUGGAGUAAUGGUUCACCAGGGCGACGAUCGGUAGCUGGUCUGAGAGGACGAUCAGCCACACUGGGAUUGAGAACGGCCCAGACUCCUACGGGGGGCAGCAGUGAGGAAUUUUCGUCAAUGGGGGCAACCCUGAACGAGCAACGCCGCGUGCAGGAAGAAGGUUUCGGAUCGUAAACUGCUUUUCUCGGGAAGAGAACGGACGGUACCGAGGAAUCAGCCCGGCUAACUACGUGCCAGCAGCCGC